rnacentral:rRNA from 1 species
UGAAACUCGCCUAUAUGAAGUCGGAAUUGCUAGUAAUCGCGGAUCAGCAUGCCGCGGUGAAUACGUUCCCGGGCCUUGUACACACCGCCCGUCACACCAUGAGAGUCGAUAACACCCGAAGCCUGUAGUCUAACCGUAAGGGGGGACGCAGUCGAAGGUGGGAUUGAUAAUUAGGGUGAAGUCGUAACAAGGUAAC